rnacentral:rRNA from 1 species
AUUUGAAAUCGUGUUUCGGCACGAGUUGUAAAUUGCAGGUUGGAGUCUUUGUGGAAGUGCGUGUCCAAGUCCCUUGGAACAGGGCGCCAKUGAGGGUGAGAGCCCCGUGGGAUGCGCAUUGAAGCUGUAAGGCCCUUCUGACGAGUCGAGUUGUUUGGGAAUGCAGCUCUAAGCGGGUGGUAAAUUCCAUCUAAGGCUAAAUAUUGGCGAGAGACCGAUAGCGAACAAGUACUGUGAAGGAAAGAUGAAAAGCACUUUGAAAAGAGAGUGAAACAGCACGUGAAAUUGUUGAAAGGGAAGGGUAUUGGGUCCGACAUGGGGACUGCGCAUCGUUGCUUCUUGUAGGCGGCGCUCUGUGCUCUCUCUGGGCCAGCAUCGGUUUUUGCCGCAGGAUAAGGGGCGUUGGAACGUGGCUCCUCGGAGURUUAUAGCCAACGCCAGAUGCUGCGAGCGGGGACCGAGGGCUGCGACAUUUGUCUCGGAUGCUGGCAUAACGGCUCAAUACCGCCCGUCUUGAAACACGGACC